rnacentral:rRNA from 1 species
UGCCAGACUCCUACGGGAGGCAGCAGUGAGGAAUAUUGGUCAAUGGCCGAGAGGCUGAACCAGCCAAGUCGCGUGAGGGAUGACGGCCCUACGGGUUGUAAACCUCUUUUGCCGGGGAGCAAAAAGCGGUACGUGUACCGCAUCGAGAGUACCCGGAGAAAAAGCAUCGGCUAACUCCGUGCCAGCAGCCGCGGUAAUACGGAGGAUGCGAGCGUUAUCCGGAUUUAUUGGGUUUAAAGGGUGCGCAGGCGGCGAGUUAAUCCGGGGGUAAAAUUUGGGGGCUCAACCCCGACAAGCCGUUGAAACUGGCUUGCUAGAGUGGGCGAGAAGUAUGCGGAAUGCGUGGUGUAGCGGUGAAAUGCAUAGAUAUCACGCAGAACUCCGAUUGCGAAGGCAGCAUACCGGCGCCCAACUGACGCUCAGGCACGAAAGCGUGGGUAUCGAACAGGAUUAGAUACCCUAGUAC